rnacentral:rRNA from 1 species
UCAGAUCGCAGUCUGCAACCCGACUGCGUGAAGUCGGAAUCGCUAGUAAUCGCGGAUCAGCAUGCCGCGGUGAAUACGUUCCCGGGCCUUGUACACACCGCCCGUCACACCAUGAGAGUCGGGAACACCCGAAGUCCGUAGCCUAACCGCGAAGGGGGGCGCGGCCGAAGGUGGGUUCGAUAAUUGGGGUGAAGUCGUAACAAGGUAAC